UACACGUGAUAGAGUUUGAUCAUGGCUCAGGACGAACGCUGGCGGCGUGCUUAACACAUGCAAGUCGAACGGUGAGGCCCUUCGGGGUGGAUCAGUGGCGAACGGGUGAGUAACACGUGGGCAAUCUGCCCUGCAUUCUGGGACAAGCCUUGGAAACGAGGCCUAAUACCGGAUACGACGCAUCUCCGCAUGGGGUGUGCGUGGAAAGCUCCGGCGAUGCAGGAUGAGCCCGCGGCCUAUCAGCUUGUUGGUGGGGUAAUGGCCUACCAAGGCGACGACGGGUAGCCGGCCUGAGAGGGCGACCGGCCACACUGGGACUGAGACACGGCCCAGACUCCUACGGGAGGCAGCAGUGGGGAAUAUUGCACAAUGGGCGAAAGCCUGAUGCAGCGACGCCGCGUGAGGGAUGACGGCCUUCGGGUUGUAAACCUCUUUCAGCAGGGAAGAAGCGCAAGUGACGGUACCUGCAGAAGAAGCACCGGCUAACUACGUGCCAGCAGCCGCGGUAAU
rnacentral:rRNA from 1 species